AUUGAACGCUGGCGGCAGGCCUACCACAUGCAAGUCGAGCGGAGCGGCGGACGGGUGUGUAAUGCCUAGGAAUCUGCCUGGUCGUGGGGGAUAACGUCCGUAUACGGGCUCUAAUACCGCAUACUAUCAGAUGAUCCUAGGGCGGAUUUGCUAGUUGGUGGGGUCAAGGCCUACCAAGGGGAGUAUCCCUAGCUGGUCUGAGAGGAUGAUCAGUCAAACUGGGACUGAGACACGGUCCAGACGCCUACGGGAGGCAGCAGUGGGGAAUAUUGGACAAGGGGGGAAAGCCUGAUCCAGCCAUGCCGCGUGUGUGAAGAAGGUCUUCGGAUUGGAAAGCUCUUUAAGUUGGGAGGCGUUACCAACAGAAUAAGCACCGGCUAACUUCGGGCCAGCAGCCGCGGUAAUAC
rnacentral:rRNA from 1 species